GUCUGUUCUAGGUAGAAAGGAUGGAGGGAUGGACCAGCAAACAGAUCUGUAUCCCCAUCAGAACUGUACACAUUAGUGACAGAGGUCAUGGCAGAGGAUAGAACUGUACACGCUAGUGACAGAGGUCAUGGCAGAGGAUAGAACUGUACACGCUAGUGACAGAGGUCAUGGCAGAGGAUAGAACUGUACACGCUAGUGACAGAGGUCAUGGCAAAGGAUGCUGCCCAUAGUUUACAUAUGGGGACAAGAAGGUCAUCUCGAAACUGGCAGCAGCAUGGCAGGAU